rfam:Hordeum vulgare subsp. vulgare, WGS project CAJW01000000 data, contig: morex_contig_214624
GUAGUACUCCCUUCGUCCCAAAAUUCUUGUCUUAAAUUUGUUUAAAAAUGAAUGUAUCUAAACACUAUAACAUGACUAGAUACAUUCAUAUCUAGACAAAUCUAAGACAAAAUUUUUGAAACGAAGGGAGUAGUAG